GGCUGUAGCUCAGUGGUAGAGCACAUGCUCAGCAUGCCUGAGGCCCUGGGUUCAAUCCCCACUACUGCCA
rnacentral:tRNA from 1 species